GCUGGGUGUGGUGAUGCACACCUGUAGUCCUAGCUACUUGGGAGGCUGAGGCAGGAGGAUGGCUUGAGCACAGGAGAUUGAGGCUGCAGUGAGUUAUGAUUGUGCCACUGCACUUCAGCCUGGGAAGCAGAGCAAGACCCUGUCUCUA
rfam:Gorilla gorilla gorilla genomic chromosome, chr18, whole genome shotgun sequence